rnacentral:misc_RNA from 1 species
GCAGCGUGCCCAUGUCGAGCGAAAAGACCGUGGACGCUGCCAGCACUUCCGGCACUUCGCUGUCGACAAUGCGCUUGGCCAGGCCCUCCGCGAUCGCGGUCUUGCCGACACCCGCUUCGCCGACGAACAGCGGAUUGUUCUUCUGGCGGCGGCACAGCACCUGAAUGGCGCGGUUGAUUUCGGCGUGGCGGCCGAUCACCGGAUCG